rnacentral:rRNA from 1 species
AUUGAACGCUGGCGGCAUGCCUAACACAUGCAAGUCGAACGAGUGGCGGACGGGUGAGUAGUGUCUGGCAACCUGCCUGAUGGAGGGGGAUAACUACUGGAAACGGUACCUAAUACCGCAUACCAUCAGCUGUGCCCAGAUGGGAUUAGCUAGUUGGUGGGGUAACGGCUCACCAAGGCGACGAUCCCUAGCUGGUCUGCGAGGAUGACAAGCCACACUGGAACUGAGACACGGUCCAGACUCCGACGGUAGGCAGCAGUGGGGAAUAUUGGACAAUGGGCGCAAGCCUGAUGCAGCCAUGCCGCGUGUAUGAAGAAGGCCUUCGGGGUGUAAAGUACUUUCAGCGGGGAGGCGGUACCCGCAGAAGAAGCACCGGCUAACUACGUGCCAGCAGCCGCGGUAAUUC